rnacentral:lncRNA from 1 species
AAUGGCCUCCGCAACAGUCACUCUUGUGUUAGCAAUACUGUCUCUAAGCUUGCCAUCUCAAAUCUCAGCUGAUACCUACUUGUACUCAUCACCUCCUCCUCCCAAGAAGCCCUAUUAUUAUCACUCUCCUCCACCACCUUCACCUCCUCCACCUAAGCCAUACUACUAUCAUUCACCACCACCACCUUCACCUCCUCCACCCAAGCCAUACUACUAUCACUCACCACCACCACCUUCACCUCCUCCACCUAAACCAUACUACUAUCACUCACCACCACCACCUUCACCUCCUCCACCUAAACCAUACUACUAUCACUCACCACCACCACCUUCACCUCCUCCACCUAAACCAUACUACUAUCACUCACCACCACCACCUUCACCUCCUCCACCUAAGUCAUAUUACUAUCACUCACCACCACCACCACCCAAAAAGAAGCCAUACUACUACCAUUCUCCCCCACCACCUUCACCACCUCCUCCUAAGCCAUACUACUAUCACUCUCCCCCACCGCCUUCACCUCCUCCACCUACGCCAUACUACUAUCAUUCUCCCCCACCACCCUCACCACCUCCACCUAAGCCAUACUACUACCAUUCACCACCACCCCCACCGAAGAAGAAGCCUUACUACUACCACUCUCCACCACCACCUUCACCUCCUCCUCCAAAGAAGCCAUACUACUACCACUCCCCACCUCCUCCCAAGAAGCCCUACAAAUAUUCAUCUCCCCCACCUCCAGUGCACCCUUACCCUCAUCCUCACCCCCAUCCCCAUCCACACCCCCACCCUCACCCUCCCUACGUUUACAAAUCUCCUCCCCCACCCCCUAAGAAGCCAUACAAGUACCCAUCCCCACCACCUCCAGUCCACGUUUACCCUCACCCUCACCCGCAUCCACACCCUCACCCUCAACCUCACCCC